rnacentral:Y_RNA from 1 species
AUGACGAAUGCCGAUGGAACUACAGGCUGUAACCCUCCGUGUCGCGGGUUCGAAUCCCGCCGGGACCGCCAUAUGGUCCCGUAGCUCAGUGGAUAGAGCAGGUGCCGAUCCGAAAGAUCGGCGAUGUUUC